UAGGGAAUCUUCCGCAAUGGACGCAAGUCUGACGGAGCAACGCCGCGUGAGUGAAGAAGGAUUUCGGUUCGUAAAACUCUGUUGUUAGAGAAGAACAGCGCAUAGAGUAACUGCUAUGCGUGUGACGGUAUCUAACCAGAAAGCCACGGCUAACUACGUGCCAGCAGCCGCGGUAAUACGUAGGUGGCAAGCGUUGUCCGGAUUUAUUGGGCGUAAAGCGAGCGCAGGCGGUCAAUUAAGUCUGAUGUGAAAGCCCCCGGCUCAACCGGAGAGGGUGAUUGGAAACUGGUGGAAUUGAGUGCAGAAGAGGAGAGUGGAAUUCCAUGUGUAGCGGUGAAAUGCGUAGAUAUAUGGAGGAACACCAGUGGCGAAGGCGACUCUCUGGUCUGUAACUGACGCUGAGGCUCGAAAGCGUGGGUAGCAAACAGG
rnacentral:rRNA from 1 species